GUGGGGAAUAUUGGACAAUGGGCGAAAGCCUGAUCCAGCCAUGCCGCGUGUGUGAAGAAGGUCUUCGGAUUGUAAAGCACUUUAAGUUGGGAGGAAGGGCAGUAAGUUAAUACCUUGCUGUUUUGACGUUACCAACAGAAUAAGCACCGGCUAACUUCGUGCCAGCAGCCGCGGUAAUACGAAGGGUGCAAGCGUUAAUCGGAAUUACUGGGCGUAAAGCGCGCGUAGGUGGUUCAGCAAGUUGAAGGUGAAAUCCCCGGGCUCAACCUGGGAACUGCCUCCAAAACUACUGAGCUAGAGUACGGUAGAGGGUAGUGGAAUUUCCUGUGUAGCGGUGAAAUGCGUAGAUAUAGGAAGGAACACCAGUGGCGAAGGCGACUACCUGGACUGAUACUGACACUGAGGUGCGAAAGCGUGGGGAGCAAACAGGAUUAGAAACCCCAGUAGUCC
rnacentral:rRNA from 1 species